CAUCCGAGCAGCUUCCUAAAGUAACAGUAGGGUUUUCUGGGGGAGAAGACGGAAAGGUACAUGUGGCAGUGAUAGCUGUGCGAGCAAAGGCACAGGGUGUGAGCGUGCAUGCAUGUGCGCGCGCGCAUGUGUAACGUCAGUGGAGAAGCACUUUGCGAAAUGGCCGGUGGCCAGUUACACCCAGAGCACAAGGUAGGGAGGAAGGAGUGAGAGGCUCAUGCCUCAACCUCACUGCUGUGGAUCAGAUUGUACCCCCCUGAAAGACACUCUGGUACCUGGAGAUGUGACCUUUUUUGGAAAUAAAGUCUUCACAGAUGGAAUCAAGUUAAGAUGAAGUUAUAUUGGAUUGGAUGAGCUCUAAAUCCAAUGGCUGGUGUCCUUUCAGAAGGUCAUGUGAAGACACAGGGACACGGAGACACAGGAGAAUGUCACGUGAAGACAGAGGCAGAAAUUGGAGUGAUGCAUUCAGAAGCUAAGGAAUCCCAAGGAUUUCUGGCAACCACCAGAAGCUAGGAGAGAGGCAUGGAACAGAUUUUCUCUCAGAGCCUCCAGAAGGAAUCGACCCUGCCACACCUUGAUUUCGUACUUCUCACUUUCAGAACUGUGAGAUUUACUGUUGUUGGACGCCCCCCAAUUCAUUAUACUUUGUUAGACAACACUAGGAAACUAAUGUAUCUUCUCUUGACUUUACUUGGCCCCUUUGAGUCCUGAGCCUCUCAGGAGCUUCUUCUGAAAGACAGAUCAGCUCACUUCUGUCUGCAGACAUUCUGGGAUGUUACUGCCUUUCCAGCUUUCGAUAUUUGAAGAGAUCUUAUUUCCUCUCACAUUCUGUUGUCCUUGGGAAUUUCUUUUUUUUAAGAAGUACAACUUCAUUAUUUCUAAUCCCACUUAGUAGUACCAAAUAAGUCAAUAAAAUAUUGAACAAAGGUGCUCAUUUCAGAAUUAUCUCUUUUAGCAAAAAGAAAAAAAUUAGGUAAUGACUGAAUAAAUUAUGACAAGUCAA